GGUGGUGGAAAAAACAAACAGUCAAAACCACGCAAGAUGAGAGGGGAUGGGAUUUGGGGCUCGUCCUGUUUUUGAAAUCUCCAGAAAGCAGGAGGCUCGGCGCUGAGCGAGGCAGUGCUCGGCGAAGUCACGUGACGCGUGCUUCGGAAAGCAGAUUUCAGGACCGUGGACAGGGACAACAUCUUCAACAAGAUGCCGCAAAAGUUGAGUCCCCCCCCACACCCCCCCGCAAGCCUCCGGCAUUAAGCACCGGGGAUGCAGGGCAAUUAUUGAGAAUGGCGGAUAUUCAAGAGAUAAUUUCCCUCUUUGACUGAAAUCAGACAUUUGACAGGCUCAUAUAAAAAGUACACUGAUUUGCCAUUCAUCUUAUUCUUCCCAACAAAGUAAUUCAUCAGCGUUGGUAAUCUGAGUUGGUUACAUAAGACAAUAAAACUGCUCCAUCACCUAGAGGACUCGUUUUUUGGUGCAGUUGAGCCACACUCUAGUGCAUCUCAGUAGAAACAUUUCAUCAUUGAGUACGUCGUCCACUUACUUGCACAGUCGAGGCUUUCAGACGCUUUUCAUGGUCUUCGUCCAUCGGUGAGUAUAAACACACAAGUCAAUGUCAACAAUGGGCUUCUUUGAAGACAAUUCUUGAACUCAUGUUAAUAUCCUCCAGGAAUAAAAGAUUAGUUUCAAUGUUUGUAGGUUAAAACAUGGUCUGACUGUUUAAGAUUGUCCUUUACUGUCUCAUGUAAAGUUACACAAGGUUUCUUUUCAAUAGAAUACAGAAUCACACUUUAAGAUUAUAGAAACUAAUUUUGAUUGGUUGUCUUGUUUUAAUAUCUUAUUUCUUUAAUAUAUUUUAACCGUUGCCCCACACUGUAUCCAAUGUUUGCAAAGGGACAGCGUUUGAUGGCUCAAUUAGUUAAAAACGGGUGACCACCUGGCAGACGCUUCCUCCAACAUCCCCGGGUUACACAGGGUGCAUCCAUUGCAGGUUGCAAAUUGUGUGAGAAACAGAACACAGAGAAGAGAAGAAGCGGAAGGUGCGUCCGCAGCCGCAGGAGGGCAGAGCUCAAGAGAGGAAACACUCUGCACUCGUGGAAAUAACAAGUUGUUCAGCAAACAACAACAAAAAUGCGGGCAGAGCAGACAGGCCGGAGCCACUGAAGCACAAUGAAAUUAAGGCCCACACGAGGAAUAAUCGUACCUACUCCAAAACGUUUUUGUUCAUCCACAGAUUGGAUUUCUUCAAACAGCGUUGACGCAAAGCAAUGUCAUCUCGGUUCACUGCAGCUCUUUCCAGCAGUAUUUGGACACAUGCAUGUAUUUAUUUCAGCCUACAAUGUGCGCACCCUGCUUGAGGGCUAAUUACAUUUGCACAGCUCAAAGGCCCGCGAGUGUCACCUUUCCUUUUGAGACACCUCCCUGGCACAACGGCGUGGAGGAAAACAUCACGAGAUUUGGGGAAAACGAAGCUCGUAAUUGUGAUCUACUCGUGUUUGUGAUCAAGAAGUUCACAAGCAUAAGCACGUUGAAACAUAACCCACGGUUCAUUUGUCACGGAUGUUUCUUAGCCUGUCUAGUGCGGACACACACGCGCGCGCUCACGUGCGCUCACACAUGCCGUGAAGACCACGUGAGCUACAGAGGAGCAGAAAGAGACGACGAGAGGGAAGCACAGUUGACUUCCUCUGUCGUUACUCACACCUGCAGUAGAAUGCAUCUCCAUAGCAACAAGACUUGCAACUGUGCAGAGUUGAUAUUUGAGGUUGUGAUCUUUAAUGCCCACUUUUAUCUCCCUUUUUUACUGCAGUAUUUUGUGGAAAUGCAUUUCUCGGUGGGUUUUCUCCCUGACCUCCUCUCUUAAUUGGGUUUGUUUCACAACUAAGACUCGCUUGUCAUCAGUCUGUCAACUGAAAGCUAUUAAUAAAUCAUCCCAAAUCAUGCUCAUA